rnacentral:piRNA from 1 species
UCUGCCUAGAUGANUUCCCCAUUAAGGACC